CACAAACAAGGCGUCGGGGACAUUCUUGAUCAUUUUGAAGGGAGUUACAUUCUCUCCUGCUCUCUUUGCCACCAUGGAGAAAGGUGGUGUUGCCAGGCCUACUAUCAAGAGACAAUGGUAACUGACCUCUACUUUCUCACGUGAUGGUGCUUCAAAAUGUCUACCAGGGAACGCAGAGUUGGCAAUUCUGAGGAAGAUUGGUUCACCAGGCAAGUUAGACAGUUUGAUAGAGGUGAAUGACUACCCCUCUCCUCUCCCUCCCUCUCUCUCUCUCUCUCUCUCCCAGUAUUAACACAUGCCUACAUGAAAUGCUUGUGUUAAAAUGAUGGUUGGUUGUUUGGUUGCCUGGAAAAUGUUGCAGAAUAAUCAUAGAUCUCGCUCCCUUUCUGGGCAACCAAACAGCACUUAAAAAGGAGACCAUUUGACUGAUUGUAGAGUUGGAUUAUUAGGAAGCUUAUGACAAAGCUCUUCUCUUAACCUUUAAUAUUAUCAGUUGUAGUUGAAUUAGUGGUACUUACUCGAAGAUACUGAGAAUUUCUGAAUGGAAGGCCUCCAGGUUGUCAUAGUCCGCAGGAUCACUGUAAAACAUCUGAAUUGCACGGCUCGCUAAUUUUUGUGGCGUCAACUCUACAUGCAAAAAGAAUUGAGGGGGAAAAUAUGAAGAAGAAAAAUAGAAAGAGAAAAUAAAGAAAAUAAGAGAUGUUGAGGAAAGCCAAUGGAGAACCUUUUCCCAUGAGAAGCAAAGGGAUGAAAGCGACUGGAGAACCUCUACGCCUGAUACUCUGGACAAGCCCCAUUUUUGGGAUUAACACAACACCACAGUUGAACUCUAUUCAACUGCGAGCGUCUGUAUAAUAUAUAGUGAAAGAUAAAGGAAUGACUUGUUAGACUCUUUGGCUUGGUGGAAGCAAGGAAUUAUUUGAGGGGAAAAAAAUUCUUGCCUUGUAACAUGUUAGAGAGAGAGAGAGACAGAGAGAGAGAGAGAGAGACCCAUUGAGCCCAUGUAUAGAUCAAGCUGAAAGGACAUGCUAAAGCCUAGGUUGGAACAUGAGAGUGGUGGAAAAGGUAAAUUUCAAUCAACCUCCCAUAAGAUUUCAAUUAAAUAGAUUUGGUUAUCAUUAAUUUGAAAUUUUAUUGAUAAGGAAAUAACAAAUGAGAAUGGGAGAAAGAGAUGAUUGAAAUUUGUAGACUAUAACAUAUGUGGGUCUCAAUGCAACAUUUUUAUACUUAUGAAAAAGACAUCACCAAUCAAGUAAUAUUAUGUGCGUAACUCAGAUCUCAUUACUUGAUACCCAAAUUUUAUAUAUUUGUACCAUAUACGAAGUUCCAUUAUUUUA